ACGGGUGAGUAAUAUAUCGGAACGUGCCCAAUCGUGGGGGAUAACGUAGAGAAAUUUACGCUAAUACCGCAUACGAUCUAAGGAUGAAAGCGGGGGAUCGCAAGACCUCGCGCGAUUGGAGCGGCUGAUAUCAGAUUAGGUUGUUGGUGAGGUAAAAGCUCACCAAGCCGACGAUCUGUAGCUGGUUUGAGAGAACGACCAGCCACACUGGGACUGAGACACGGCCCAGACUCCUACGGGAGGCAGCAGUGGGGAAUUUUGGACAAUGGGCGAAAGCCUGAUCCAGCAAUGCCGCGUGCAGGAAGAAGGCCUUCGGGUUGUAAACUGCUUUUGUACGGAACGAAACGGCUCUUUCUAAUAAAGAGGGCUAAUGACGGUACCGUAAGAAUAAGCACCGGCUAACUACGUGCCAGCAGCCGCGGUAAUACGUAGGGUGCGAGCGUUAAUCGGAAUUACUGGGCGUAAAGCGUGCGCAGGCGGUUAUGUAAGACAGUUGUGAAAUCCCCGGGCUCAACCUGGGAAUUGCAUCUGUGACUGCAUAGCUAGAGUACGGUAGAGGGGGGAUGGAAUUCCGCGUGUAGCAGUGAA
rnacentral:rRNA from 1 species